rnacentral:rRNA from 1 species
GAUGAACGCUGGCGGCGUGCCUAAUACAUGCCAGUCGAGCGGACGGACGAGAAGCUUGCUUCGCUGAUGUUAGCGGCGGACGGGUGAGUAACACGUGGAUACCCUGCCUAUAAGACUGGGAUAACUUCGGGAAACCGGAGCUAAUACCGGAUGAUAUUUUGAACCGCAGGGUUCAAAAGUGAAAGACGGUCUUGCUGUCACUUAUAGAUGGAUCCGCGCUGCAUUAGCUAGUUGGUAAGGUAACGGCUUACCAAGGCAACGAUGCAUAGCCGACCUGAGAGGGUGAUCAGCCACACUGGAACUGAGACACGGUCCAGACUCCUACGGGAGGCAGCAGUAGGGAAUCUUCCGCAAUGGGCGAAAGCCUGACGGAGCAACGCCGCGUGUGUGAUGAAGGUCUUCGGAUCGUAAAACUCUGUUAUUAGGGAAGAACAUCUGUGUAAGUAACUGUGCACAUCUUGACGGUACCUAAUCAGAAAGCCACGGCUAACUACGUG